UUCCUGAUGAUUUCAGAAUUUACAUGAAAUGGAAAAAAGGAGGCAAAAUUAAAACCAAUCCAGAAUAAGAUAAUUAAUGAGGAUGGUGUUUCUUCCAAAGGCAAUUAGACAAGAGAAAUCAAAAUGAAUGUUUCUGUUAUAAAUUUUACAAAUUCAUGAGAUCAGUCCAUAGAAAAAUAACGAAUGGCUGAAGUUUUGGAAAUAGUCUGGAGAUUUCCAAUAAGCUAAUAAACAAUCAUUACAAAAUGUAACGAAAUUUAAACCUCAUAAAGAUUUUUAUAAUAACUCAAAGUCGUCGAUUCAUAAUUCAUUAUCCCUCUGCACCAAUUAAGUUGUCAGGAUGACAUUGCUGUUAAUAAAUCUUAGUGAUCUUGGUGUAGUUGAAAAUCACAAGAUUUCAAAAGACAUCGCAAUUAGAGGCUGAAUAUGAAGCUGGGUCAUUUAAGGUGGUUAAUAUAAAUUUGUAAUAUGGAAGUGAUUGAACUGGACAAUACAAUCACCUAGCAAGUCACGAUAUUGAAUUACCUUAUCUGAAUACAGUCUGCUAUUACCCCCAGAAUUGUGAUUAUGAAAGAAAAUGAUUCACACAUGAAAUGAAAAAAACUAGUCAUUUCUUGACGCUUAUCAUCACCAUCUAUCAAUUCAUUAUUGGCAAUCAAACAAGCAACGGCUUCUUCAUUAUCAAGAUAACAUACUCUUAAUGAACAAGUUGAAUCCUAAUGUUUCCGGUUGAUGAACUUGACUGGCAAUGAAUUUUUCACCAUUCUUAUAAUACCUUUCCAGACGACAAUAUUAAUUUUUAAUAUCCAGUGACAUUGCAAUCAAUCAAUCUUUUGAACAAACUUAAUUGUUGCUCAAAUAAGCAUCUUUUGAUUUCAAUCUGUCCGAAGACAAUCUCUUGAUCAUAAACUGUAUUUCCUUACUUUUUUAACCAACUAACUGUUGAUAAUCACGUACCAAUCAGGUAUAAUAUUUCAAUCUUUUAACUGCCAAAUCAGACAAUAUUGAUUUAGUUGAUGACUUUGAUUUGAUUCCCUAAAGCAAUUGUACUAUGAAUGAAGAUGUUAUCCAAAUUCAAGUUAAAAUGUUGAAAAGUUCAUUGAUUUAGGCAGAAAAAUUGAGUUGAUUUUUUCUUCUUCACUCAACUUACAUCAAAUUUCAUCUAAAUUGGUAAAUGUUAAAAUUAACAGAAAAUUGUUCUGCUCAUCAAAAUUUAGAUUCAUUGAGAUAUAAUCAGUGAAAUAGUGCGUCGAACCUUCAACUAAAUCUUUCAAUCUUGAAAUACAAUCUUUUCAAACCGUU